GUUUGAUCCUGGCUCAGAACGAACGCUGGCGGCGUGGAUAAGACAUGCAAGUCGAACGAGACUUUUCGUUGUAGCAAUACGAUGGAAAGUUUAGUGGCGAACGGGUGCUUAACACGUGGGCAACCUGCCGAGAAGUGGGGGAUAGCUCGCCGAAAGGCGAAUUAAUACCGCAUGUGAUUAGAGAGGACAUCCUUUCGAAAUUAAAGUCGGGGCAACCUGACGCUUUUUGUGGGGCCCGCGGCCUAUCAGCCAGUUGGUGAGGUAACGGCUCACCAAGGCUUUGACGGGUAGCUGGUCUGAGAGGACGACCAGCCACACUGGGACUGAGACACGGCCCAGACACCUACGGGUGGCAGCAGUCGAGAAUUUUUGACAAUGGGGGAAACCCUGAUCGAGCGACGCCGCGUGGAGGAUGAAGGUCUUCGGAUUGUAAACUCCUGUCAUUUGGGAACAAGUCGCUUACGUUAACUGCGUGAGCGUUGAUAGUACCAGAAGAGGAAGGGACGGCUAACUCUGUGCCAGCAGCCGCGGUAAUACAGAGGUCUCAAGCGUUGUUCGGAUUCAUUGGGCGUAAAGGGUGCGUAGGCGGCGCGGUAAGUCGGGUGUGAAAUCUCGGAGCUUAACUCCGAAACUGCAUUCGAUACUGCCGUGCUUGAGGACUGGAGAGGAGACUGGAAUUUACGGUGUAUCGGUGAAAUGCGUAGAUAUCGUAAGGAAGACCAGUGGCGAAGGCGGGUCUCUGGACAGUUCCUGACGCUGAGGCACGAAGGCCAGGGGAGCAAACGGGAUUAGAU
rnacentral:rRNA from 1 species